GUCGUUCUCAGACAUGGACAGUUCUUGUACAACUUUCUCCAGUCCUUUGCUAAUAGCUUGCAUCUCCUCUGCAAGAAAUUUCAGUUGUAUCUUUGCGCACGGUUCCAAACUAGAAAGAUCAUUAGAAAAAUCUAGCAGUUCGGGCAAUUUGUCAGCAAGUACCUUGCAAAGAUAAUGCAUGAGAGUCAUCUUAUUGUUCCGUGCACGUGUCUCUGUUAGUUUUAGGAGGCUAUCUAACCUGAAUCCAACAGCAGAACCUCUAGCAGUUCCCUGGUUCAAAGCAUUUCCAAGAGAGAGAAU
rnacentral:misc_RNA from 1 species